UACAGAGGUCUCGAGCGUUAGGCGGAAUCACCGGGCUUAAAGCGUGUGUAGGCGGAUCGGUAAGUACCUUGUGAAAUCCCACAGCUUAACUGUGGAACUGCUUGGUAUACUGCCAGUCUUGAGCCACUUAGGGGCUACCGGAACAAAUGGUGGAGCGGUGAAAUGCGUAGAUAUCGGGAGGAACACCAAUGGCGAAGGCAGCUCGCUGGGACGGUACUGACGCUGAGACGCGAAAGCGUGGGGAGCAAACAGG
rnacentral:rRNA from 1 species